rnacentral:rRNA from 1 species
AGGACGAACGCUGGCGGCGUGCUUAACACAUGCAAGUCGAGCGGUAAGGCCUUUCGGGGUACACGAGCGGCGAACGGGUGAGUAACACGUGGGUGAUCUGCCCUGCACUUCGGGAUAAGCCUGGGAAACUGGGUCUAAUACCGGAUAUGACCUCCUAUCGCAUGGUGGGUGGUGGAAAGAUUUAUCGGUGCAGGAUGGGCCCGCGGCCUAUCAGCUUGUUGGUGGGGUAAUGGCCUACCAAGGCGACGACGGGUAGCCGACCUGAGAGGGUGACCGGCCACACUGGGACUGAGACACGGCCCAGACUCCUACGGGAGGCAGCAGUGGGAAUAUGCACAAUGGGCGAAAGCCUGAUGCAGCGACGCCGCGUGAGGAUGACGGCUUCGGGUUGUAACCUCUUUCAGCAGGACGAAGCGCAAGUGACGGUACCUGCAGAAGAAGCACCGGCUAACUACGUGCCAGCAAGCCGACGGU